UGAUAGGCCGGGUGUGGAAGUGCGGCAACGCAUGAAGCUUACCGGUACUAAUAGCUCGAUCGGCUUGAUCGUUCUCAUU
rnacentral:rRNA from 3 species